rnacentral:rRNA from 1 species
CUAGUAACGGCGAGCGAACCGGAAAGAGCCCAGCUUGAAAAUCGGGGCGCCUCGCGCCCCGAAUUGUAGUCUGGAGAAGCUCCCUCUGCGGCGCACCGGGCCCAAGUCCCCUGGAAAGGGGCGUCAGAGAGGGUGACAACCCCGUCGAGCCCGGAGCGUGCCGCUCCACGAGGAGCUGUCUGCGAGUCGGGCUGUUUGGGAAUGCAGCCCUAAGCGGGAGGUAAAUUCCUUCCAAGGCUAAAUAUGGGCAAGAGACCGAUAGCGAACAAGUACCGCGAGGGAAAGAUGAAAAGGACUUUGAAAAGAGAGUUAAAAAGUGCUUGAAAUUGCUGGGAGGGAAGCGAAUGGAAGCUGCGGGUGCGCCCCGGUUGGAUGUGGAACGGCCCUUAAACAAGGCUGGUCCGCCGCUCAACGCGGGGCGCUGGUCAGCGUGGGCCUUCGCGCCGGGACAAGAGCGGGACUUCGCGUCCCGUCUAUGCCGGUGCGGGGGCCGAGGAACGAAGCGCGCGCCCCCUCCGGGGGGCGUGGGGCUCGCCCCAACUGCGCGCUCGGGACGCUGGCGUAUUGAGCUCUUCAUCCGACCCGUCUUGAAACACGGACCAAGGAGUCUAACAUGUAUGCGAGCCGGUGGGCGGCAAACCCAUUGAGGCGCAAGUAACCUGACAGGUGGGACCCCGACCGCAAGGA